AUUGAACGCUGGCGGCAGGCCUAACACAUGCAAGUCGAGCGGAGCGGCGGACGGGUGAGUAAUGCCUAGGAAUCUGCCUGGUAGUGGGGGAUAACGUCCGGAAACGGGCGCUAAUACCGCAUACUAUCAGAUGAGCCUAGGUCGGAUUAGCUAGUUGGUGGGGUAAAGGCCUACAAAGGCGACGAUCCGUAACUGGUCUGAGAGGAUGAUCAGUCAGACGUUGAGGGAGACACGGUGCUGACUCCUACGGGAGGCAGCAGUGGGGAAUAUUGGACAAGUGGCGAAAGCCUGAUCCAGCCAUGCCGCGUGUGUGAAGAAGGUCUUCGGAUUGUAAAGCUCGUUAAGUUGGGAGGCGUUACCAACAGAAUAAGCACCGGCUAACUUCGUGCCAGCAGCCGCGGUAAUUC
rnacentral:rRNA from 1 species